rnacentral:rRNA from 1 species
UGAAGCCCCCCUCAAGAUGAGAUUUCCCAUAGCGUAAGCUAGUAAGAUCCCUGAAAGAUGAUCAGGUUGAUAGGUUCGAGGUGGAAGCAUGGUGACAUGUGGAGCUGACGAAUACUAAUAGAUCGAGGACUUAACCAUAUAA